rnacentral:rRNA from 1 species
GGAAUAUUGGACAAUGGGCGCAAGCCUGAUCCAGCCAUGCCGCGUGCAGGAUGACGGUCCUAUGGAUUGUAAACUGCUUUUAUACAGGAAGAAACCCUGGUUCGUGAACCAGCUUGACGGUACUGUAAGAAUAAGGAUCGGCUAACUCCGUGCCAGCAGCCGCGGUAAUACGGAGGAUCCAAGCGUUAUCCGGAAUCAUUGGGUUUAAAGGGUCCGUAGGCGGUUUAGUAAGUCAGUGGUGAAAGCCCAUCGCUCAACGGUGGAACGGCCAUUGAUACUGCUAAACUUGAAUUAUUAGGAAGUAACUAGAAUAUGUAGUGUAGCGGUGAAAUGCUUAGAGAUUACAUGGAAUACCAAUUGCGAAGGCAGGUUACUACUAAUUGAUUGACGCUGAUGGACGAAAGCGUGGGUAGCGAACAGGAUUAGAUACCCCAG